GAACCACUGGUGCUGUAGACCAUAAGCUCACUUCAAUUUCUCGAAGUAAUGUUUUCUCCAGAACAUUAAGCAGUUUUAAUUUGUCUCACAAUCUAUGAGACUUACUGGAGUCUUAUUGCAGCAUCUGGAACACUAAAUAAAUAAUGGAUGAAUACAAGAGAAAAGAAAAUGAAGAAGGAAAAAAAGAGCAAUCCCGUGACUAAUCAACAUGUAUUUUAUGAAGUCAACAGAUUUUUCCUAGAUUGUGUAGAAGUUAUUGAGGAAGAUCCUGAUUUAUGGGUUAAAUAAAGGGUUUGUCACACAAAGAAGGAAGAUGAGGUGAAGAGACAUAGGAAGAUGGCCAUCUACAAGUCAAUGAGCAAAGUGGAACAGAUCCCUCUCUCACAGCCCUCAGAAGGAACCAACCCUGCUGAUACCUCAGUUUUGGACUUUCAACUUCCAGAACUG